UCAAAAUCAGGUUGAAGUCAGAUAUUGUGUGCAAUCAUUCGGUACUGUUUGGUACCCGUAGAACUCAAUAGGAUUACAAACCAUAAAAUCAAAUGAAUACAUAAUAAUAAAUCCUAUGAGAAAAAGGAUUUGGGAGUACAAAGUAAUUCUAAAUAUUCAAUAAUAAUAAAAUUACACAUUAUAAGAAUAAACUAGCUAACCCGACAGAUUCGUAAACAAAUCUGUCUUGAAGAUGUAGAUCCGGCUCAGUCCUCUGUUUCCGAUCGUCCACGUCCAAGACUCGUCUGGCUGCCUCCAAACACUCACCGGAAUCAAGCCCAACGUUCCAAAAUCCUCUGCCUCCAACCCUAAGUCACACAUACCCCAACACCCGAAAUGAAACCAGCUACUGCCCAGAGAAGAAAAAAGCACACAACAAUCAAAUGUCCAUUUUUCAGUCACUCAGACACAGAACUCCCUCAACCCAGAUCAUGAAGCAAGAGAAAAGGAAAGAAACGAACGAUUUUGAAAAAAACGGACUUAUGUGCUUCGGAAAAAAUAGUUUCGUACCUUUUUGAAAACACGAAGAGAAGGUUUUAAUAAUCCCAACCAUAACCAAAGCUCAGAAGAAAAUGAAGAGAGAAUAGCCGAGAAUUUCAGCGAAAAAAUCUCACC
rnacentral:lncRNA from 1 species